GAUGAACGCUAGCUACAGGCUUAACACAUGCAAGUCAAGGGACCGGCGCACGGGUGAGUAACACGUAUCCAACCUGCCCUUUACUCGGGGAUAGCCUUUCGAAAGCAAGAUUAAUACCCGAUAUAAAGGAUGGGGAUGCGUUACAUUAGGUUGUUGGAGAGGUAACGGCCCACCAAGCCUUCGAUGGAUAGGGGUUCUGAGAGGAAGGUCCCCCACUUUGGAACUGGUACACGGGCCAAACUCCUACGGGAGGCAGCAGUGAGGAAUAGUUGUCAAUGGGCGGGAGCCUGAACCAGCCAAGUAGGGUGAAGGAUGAAGGCUUAUGGGUCGUAAACUUCUUUUAUAUAAGAAUAUGUAUUAUAUGAAUAAGGAUCGGCUAACUCCGUGCCAGCAGCCGCGGUAAUAC
rnacentral:rRNA from 1 species